rnacentral:rRNA from 1 species
GACGAACGCUGGCGGCGUGCCUAAUACAUGCAAGUCGAACGCAUUUUCUUUCACCGUAGCUUGCUACACCGAAAGAAAAUGAGUGGCGAACGGGUGAGUAACACGUGGGCAACCUGCCCAUCAGCGGGGGAUAACACUUGGAAACAGGUGCUAAUACCGCAUAAUUCCAUUUACCGCAUGGUAGAGGGAUGAAAGGCGCUUUUGCGUCACUGAUGGAUGGACCCGCGGUGCAUUAGCUAGUUGGUGGGGUAACGGCCUACCAAGGCUGCGAUGCAUAGCCGACCUGAGAGGGUGAUCGGCCACACUGGGACUGAGACACGGCCCAGACUCCUACGGGAGGCAGCAGUAGGGAAUCUUCGGCAAUAGACGCAAGUCUGACCGAGCAACGCCGCGUGAGUGAAGAAGGUUUUCGGAUCGUAAAACUCUGUUGUUAGAGAAGAACAAGGAUGAGAGUGGAAAGUUCAUCCCUUGACGGUAUCUAACCAGAAAGCCACGGCUAACUACGUG